rnacentral:rRNA from 1 species
AAACCGUUCAGGGGUAAACGGGAGAGACCGAAAGACGAAGGGGGAGACUCAAUCCCGCCCGCGUGUCCGGUCCUCGGCGGCCACGGAUGUCCCCGGUCGCCCACCGCGCCCUACGGCGCGCGCAGGUCACGAUCCGAGGUCACCGGCCGUCCGGGUUCACUCCCGGCCGCGGCGGGAUGCACUUCUCCUCCAGUAGGACGUCGCGACCCGCCGGGUACACUAGUGAGCCGGUCUAAGGCACUCGGGGUGGAGCCCGAGGGAACCGCCGCGGAAACGUGGGUCCACGGUUCCCCGGACCCCCGGUCGCCCGGCCGGCGCCCGGUGGUAAAUCUCGCGGAGCAGGCCCGCUAACCCUACAGUAGCGAGCGUCCGGCCCGGAGGGCAAGCUCUUCGGCGGUGCUCGAGGUGCCGUGGCCUCAGCCACGUCCCCGGCCCCCGUCGGCUGCUGGCCCCCGGAGUCCUCGGACGGUAGCCCGUCUCCCGUUAGCGGCGCUCACGCUUCGGGUGCUCUCCCGA